UACGAAGGGGGCUAGCGUUGCUCGGAAUCACUGGGCGUAAAGCGCACGUAGGCGGCUUCUAAGUCAGGGGUGAAAUCCUGGAGCUCAACUCCAGAACUGCCUUUGAUACUGGAGAGCUUGAGUCCGGAAGAGGUGAGUGGAACCCGAGUGUAGAGGUGAAAUUCGUAGAUAUUCGCAAGAACACCAGUGGCGAAGGCGGCUUACUGGUCCGGUUCUGACGCUGAGGCGCGAAAGCGUGGGGAGCAAACAGGG
rnacentral:rRNA from 1 species